UACAGAGGGUGCGAGCGUUGUCCGGAAUCACUGGGCGUAAAGGGCGCGUAGGCGGCUCGGCACGUCCGUUGUGAAAUCGCCCGGCUCAACUGGGCGGGGUCAGCGGAUACGGUCGAGCUUGAGCAAGCUAGGGGGCAAUGGAAUUCCCGGUGUAGUGGUGGAAUGCGUAGAUAUCAGGAGGAACACCGGUGGCGAAGGCGGGUCUCUGGGCCGAAACUGACGCUGAGGAGCGAAAGCGUGGGGAGCGAACAGG
rnacentral:rRNA from 1 species